AGAGUUUGAUCCUGGCUCAGGAUGAACGCUGGCGGUAUGCUUAACACAUGCAAGUCGAACGGGAUCUUUAGGGAUUCAGUGGCGGACGGGUGAGUAACGCGUGAGAAUCUGCCCUUAGGUUGGGGACAACCACUGGAAACGGUGGCUAAUACCGAAUAAGCCGCAAGGUAAAAGAUUAAUUGCCUAGGGAUGAGCUCGCGUCUGAUUAGCCAGUUGGUGGGGUAAAGGCCUACCAAGGCGUCGAUCAGUAGCUGGUCUGAGAGGACGAUCAGCCACACUGGGACUGAGACACGGCCCAGACACCUACGGGUGGCAGCAGUCGAGAAUUUUUCACAAUGGGGGCAACCCUGAUGGAGCGACGCCGCGUGGAGGAUGAAGGCUUUCGGGUUGUAAACUCCUGUCAUUUGGGAACAAGGUGCAUCGAUUAACUGUCGAUGCAUUGAUAGUACCAGAAGAGGAAGAGACGGCUAACUCUGUGCCAGCAGCCGCGGUAAUACAGAGGUCUCAAGCGUUGUUCGGAUUCAUUGGGCGUAAAGGGUGCGUAGGUGGCGGGGUAAGUCAGGUGUGAAAUUUCGGAGCUUAACUCCGAAACUGCAUUUGAUACUGCCUUGCUUGAGGACUGGAGAGGAGAUUGGAAUUCACGGUGUAGCAGUGAAAUGCGUAGAUAUCGUGAGGAAGACCAGUGGCGAAGGCGGAUCUCUGGACAGUUCCUGACACUGAGGCACGAAGGCUAGGGGAGCAAACGGGAUUAGAUACCCCCGUAGUCC
rnacentral:rRNA from 1 species